CGGUAUAGCUCAGCUGGUAGAGCGGCGCAUUCGUAAUGCGUAGGUCGUAGGUUCAAAUCCUAUUGCCG
rnacentral:tRNA from 2 species